GAUCAGGUAGGGAUACCCGGCUGACUUAAGCAUAUCAAAUUAAGCGAGCCCGCU
rnacentral:rRNA from 1 species